UACGAGGGGGGCGAGCGUUGUUCGGAAUUCUUGGGCGUAAAGGGUGCGUAGGCGGUUUGGUAAGUCUUGUGUGAAAUCUCCAGGCUCAACUUGGAGUCUGCACGAGAAACUGCCGGGCUUGAGUGUGGGAGAGGUGAGUGGAAUUCCCGGUGUAGCGGUGAAAUGCGUAGAUAUUGGGAGGAACACCUGUGGCGAAAGCGGCUCACUGGACCAUAACUGACGCUGAUGCACGAAAGCUAGGGGAGCAAACAGG
rnacentral:rRNA from 1 species